rnacentral:lncRNA from 1 species
UCGGUCUACAAUGACCACCGGUACCUCCUCAUGGGAUAGAUCAUCUUCGAAUGAAAGGGGCUCGUGGACCAAGAUGUGAGAGAGGUCCGAGUUGUAUUUGCAUAACAUAGACACAUGAAACACAUUAUGGACUCUGGAUAGUUCUGAAGGUAGUGCAGUUUGUAGGCGGCAGUACCAAUUCUGUCUAAGAUCUCAAUUGGCCCAAUAACCAAGGAUUUAGUUUUUUCCUUUUGCCAAACUUACAGAUUCUCUUGGAAUGGGUGACCUUGAAGAACACUCGAUCACCUUUCUCAAAUUCCAAAUCCCUCAUCCGGGUUUCUGCAUAACUCUUCUGCCUGCUUUAAGCUGUCUGGAUAUUCUUGUUGAUCUUAACUAUUUUAGCUGUAGUCUUAUCUACAAGAUUUGGACCUAUCACC